UGCUCAACCUGUGUGCUAUUUUCAUUGGUUGGCAAGUAGGGUACGAUCUAUUGCACACAAUGUAGACAGUUGUAUUUACAUUUUAUAUAUGUCUUUUUUAUGUAUUUUAUCAUUGAAGGUACCUUUAUCUUUGUUAUUGUAUUCUGCCGUGUGUGUGUGUGUGUGUGUGUGUGUGUGUGUGUGUAGAGAGAGAGAGAGAGAGAGAGAUCAUAAACAUGUUAAGAAUAUUUGUGUAGUAUUAGAGUGUGGUUUCUAGAACAGUUCAGUUUCUUAUUUAAAUGUCUAAGAUAUAUGGCCUUGUAACCGUGUACCCACUGUACCGAAAAUAGUGUCUCAGGAAUGUCAUUUGCCUCUGAAGAAAAUGUAGUACAAAUUGUGUAUUUGUGUUUGUUGAUUUUGUUGAGAGUACUCUGUUCAUUGUAUGGUUGUGGUUGUAUUAAUCACCCCCAUGUACAGGUAGCAUAUUAAUAUGUCCUUAUUGAUUGUCAUAUUUCUAAUGAAAAUAUACUCUUAAUCAUAAGCUUA